rnacentral:rRNA from 1 species
CACGUAGGGACCAAGCGUUGUCCGGAUUUAUUGGGCGUAAAGAGCUCGUAGGCGGUCGUGUAAGUCGGGUGUGAAAUCUCCGGGCUCAACUCGGAGGGGCCACCCGAUACUGCUCGACUCGAGUCCGGUAGGGGAGUGGGGAAUUCCUGGUGUAGCGGUGAAAUGCGCAGAUAUCAGGAGGAACACCGGUGGCGAAGGCGCCACUCUGGGCCGGUACUGACGCUGAGGAGCGAAAGCGUGGGUAGCAAACAGG